rnacentral:rRNA from 1 species
UACGGAGGGGGCAAGCGUUGUCCGGAAUCAUUGGGCGUAAAGCGCGUGUAGGCGGCUCGGUAAGUCCGCUCUGAAAGCCCGGGGCUCAACCCCGGGAGACGGGUGGAUACUGCUGAGCUCGAGUCCGGAAGAGGAGUGUGGAAUUCCUGGUGUAGCGGUGAAAUGCGCAGAUAUCAGGAGGAACACCAAUGGCGAAGGCAGCACUCUGGGACGGUACUGACGCUGAGACGCGAAAGCGUGGGGAGCAAACAGG